AUACGGAGGACGCGAGCGUUAUCCGGAUUCAUUGGGUUUAAAGGGUGCGCAGGCGGCCGUGCAAGUCAGCGGUGAAAGCCCGGGGCCCAACCCCGGAAGUGCCGUUGAUACUGCAUGGCUUGAAUGCGGUCGAGGCGGGCGGAACGUGGCGGGUAGCGGUGAAAUGCGUAGAUAUGCCACAGAACGCCGAUAGCGGAGGCAGCUCGCCAGGCCUGCAUUGACGCUCGGGCACGAAAGCGUGGGGAUCGAACAGGAUUAGAUACCCUGGUAGUCCACGCCGUAAACGAUGGGCGCUCGUCGUCGGCGGCAGACAGUCGGCGGCCAAGCGAAAGCGAUAAGCGCCCCACCUGGGGAGUACGGUCGCAAGGCUGAAACUCAAAUGAAUUGACGGGG
rnacentral:rRNA from 1 species